rnacentral:rRNA from 1 species
CACGUAGGGGGCGAGCGUUGUCCGGAUUUAUUGGGCGUAAAGGGCUCGUAGGCGGUUUGUCGCGUCGGGAGUGAAAUCCACUGGCUUAACUGGUGGCUUGCUUUCGAUACGGGCAGACUGGAGGUAUGCAGGGGGAGAACGGAAUUCCUGGUGUAGCGGUGAAAUGCGCAGAUAUCAGGAGGAACACCGGUGGCGAAGGCGGUUCUCUGGGCAUGUCCUGACGCUGAGGAGCGAAAGUGUGGGGAGCGAACAGG